rnacentral:lncRNA from 1 species
UUUCUCUGGGAGGGUGUAUCUAGGACAUCAGCCUACCCACAGUUCUGGGCUGCGUCUGUUACUGCCUUGCUUACCCUGCCCCCCACCCAUAACUUCAGAGAAAGGAAAAUGGACUGAGCCUCAGCACCCACACACCAUGGCUGCCUUGAAUCCAGAGUCAUCUACACUGGCGUCUUAAAGAGAAAACCAAGAAAGUCUCAUGUCACCGAGCAGGCUGAAGAGGGCAAGUGAAACCCCGAGGCAGUCAAGAUCUCUGCUGGAAAUCAAAAACAUCAAUUCUAUGUAUUCAGGGAACACUUUUUCAAACAAUCUGCAGAACAUUGGGAGAUAAUGUAGUUAAAAUAUCGUCUUCAUAGAGAUGAGGUCAUGACUAUAAACACAAUCUUUUAAAGUAUGAAUGAAUAGUCCUCCUCUUGAAGGGCAGUUGCUUGCAAGGGGACGUCACUGUCUUCGAGAGCUUCACAUUUUUGGAUAUUCAAAUUGUGUAUAGAAGAAAAUAUCACUCCUUCUUAAACUGA